GUGACGAAGCGACGCCGCGUGCGGGAAGAAGGCCUUCGGGUUGUAAACCGCUGUCGGGAGUUAAGAAGUGCAUGGAUGUUAAUAGCGUCCUUGCUUGACUAAGGCUCCGGAGGAAGCCACGGCUAACUCUGUGCCAGCAGCCGCGGUAAUACAGAGGCGGCAAGCGUUGUUCGGAAUUAUUGGGCGUAAAGAGCACGUAGGCGGCCGUGUAAGUCGGUUGUGAAAGCCUUCCGCUCAACGGAAGGACGGCAUCCGAUACUGCAUGGCUCGAGUGCGGGAGGGGAGAGUGGAACUUCUGGUGGAGCGGUGAAAUGCGUAGAUAUCAGAAGGAACACCGGCGGCGAAGGCGACUCUCUGUCCGUAACUGACGCUGAGUGUGCGAAAGCUAGGGGAACAAACGGGAUUAGAUACCCCGGUAGUCCUAGCCGUAAACGAU
rnacentral:rRNA from 1 species